rnacentral:rRNA from 1 species
CGAUAUAUGCUUGUCUGAAGGAUUAAGCCAUGCAAAUGUGAGAAGGAUGGGGGUGACCCAGAAUUCUGUGGAUGGCAAAAUAAAAAAGGGGGAAUGGGAGCGAAAGAGAUGAAUGGAUAACAAAGGGAAAUCUUUUGAUAAUACAAGAAAAAGAAGUUGAUGGUUGAAAAAGUCAAUUUCGAUGAGGCUGUUAAAGCCAAUUUCGGGCCACCCCCUUAAUUAUCAAUUUUGAUGGAAUUUUAAUGAACUUUCAUGAUUGUAACGAUUACGGAGAAUGAGGGUUCGAUUCCGUUGAGUGAGCAUGAGAGACGGCUGACAUUUCUACGGGAAGCAGCAGGCGCGAAAAUUGACCAAUGGGCGAGGGCCCGAGUCAGCAAGAGGACAUGGGAAAGAGGGGGAACGAAGAGUUCCGCCUUUAUUCAAAUGAGAAAAAUGUGAGAAAGAAAGUUAGCGAGAAACAAAU